UACGGAGGGGGCUAGCGUUGUUCGGAAUUACUGGGCGUAAAGCGCACGUAGGCGGCUUUGUAAGUUAGAGGUGAAAGCCCGGGGCUCAACUCCGGAAUUGCCUUUAAGACUGCAUCGCUAGAAUUGUGGAGAGGUAAGUGGAAUUCCGAGUGUAGAGGUGAAAUGCGCAGAUAUCGGGAGGAACACCAAUUGCGAAGGCAGCUUGCUGGGACGGUACUGACGCUGAGGCGCGAAAGCGUGGGGAGCAAACAGG
rnacentral:rRNA from 1 species